UACGGGGGAUGCAAGCGUUAUCCGGAAUCAUUGGGCGUAAAGCGCCUGCAGGUGGCCCCCCAAGUCCCCCGUCAAAGGCCGGGGCCCAACCCCGGAAAGGCGGAGGAAACUGUCGGGCUAGAGGGCGCGCUGGGGUAGAGGGAACUCCUAGUGUAGCGGUAAAAUGCGCAGAUAUUAGGAAGAACACCGGUGGCGAAGGCGCUCUACUGGGCCAGCCCUGACACUCAGAGGCGAAAGCUGGGGGAGCGAGAGGG
rnacentral:rRNA from 1 species